UCAAAGGUAAACACAACAUUUACGUGCACAAGAGCAAGCGCUGUUACAUCCAUUUGAAAAGAACUCCAUUUGGGUCCAAAAAGUGGACCGAAUUUGGG